rnacentral:snRNA from 1 species
AAACUUACCUGGUAGGGGAGAUACCAUAAUCAUGAAUGUGGUUUUCCCAGGGCGAGGCUUAUCCAUUGCACUCCGGCUAUGCUGAUCCCUGUGAUUUCCCCAAAUGUGGGAAACUCAACUGCAUAAUUUGUGGUAGUGGGGGACUGCGUUUGCGCUUUCCCCUG